rnacentral:rRNA from 1 species
UGCGAUCAUACCAGCA